AUGUCUCCUCUAGCAACGAAUAGCCCGCAGCAUCGCGCCGGAGAACGCCCGGAAGCUCCACGUUGCAUCCCCUAUUUCCGCCCGUCGUACACGCAGGAAGAUCAGUUCAAGAGGAAAACUACGUCAGUCCAACCUGUAAACCACGACAGUUCAAGAAGGAGGCUCGCCGCCUCAAGGACCGGGUUACAGGCCCCGGUCUCCGGCCAAGCUGCCGUCCAGGGGUUCGACGCCGUCGGGAGUCAGACGCCUUGGGAGGUCACGCCGUAUCCCGCCUGCAUGCGUCCCUCGCCGACGCAUCUCCAACUCACCAUGGACGGCUUCCUCGUCGGGCUCGAUCUUCUUCUCCAGCCUCUUGCUGCCGGCACCACCACGGGAAUUGCAGUCGCAACCAGAUGGCACACCACCACCGCGAGCCACUCGUCGGCGACCACCAGCCCAUUUCAUGCUCGUUUGUACUUUCUUUUCUUCUUACUCUGGUUCAGAUUUUGGUUCGAAAAGAAGAUCAAAUACCAUAUAACUGGAAUUAACCGAUGCAAGUCGAAGAAGGAUUGGCCGGUGCUGCCAGCUGGCGUCAAGUUUGAUCCCACGGAUCAAGAGCUGAUCGAGCACCUUGAGGCCAAAGUGAGUGCUAACAGCGCGAGAUCUCACCCUCUCAUCGAUUUGUUCAUACCAACCAUCGACAGCGAGCACGACAUAUGCUACACCCAUCUUGAGAAACUUCCAGGUAUCACACUGAGUGGCCUAAGCAAGCAUUUCUUCCAGCACAAUUCCAGGGCGUUCAAAAGGGGCACGUGGACACGUCGCAAGAUACAGUCAGAGUGCGGCAUGCACGCGAUGUGGCACAACACCGGCAAUACCUUGCCGGUGAUGGUCAACGGCCGGCAGACGGGCAGCAAAAAGGUUCUGGUGCUGCACACCAACAAGAACUUCGACCAGCAGAGGACCAACUGGUCGAGCAAGUUUCAACUGGGCUGUAGACUGCACAGGCUUGGUUUUGUUUUUAACAGGCCCAGCCCAUGA
rnacentral:rRNA from 1 species